ACCCCCAGCAAUGGGCAAAGAACCAUCUUGUUGGUGGUGGUGUUCUAAUAUCAGUCAGGGGCAGAGCAGAUGGCAGUCCAUCGCUCAUCCUAGCUUGGUGCCUGACUUGGUGGCCAAAGCUGUUGUAUGCCAGGAAAUCAAAU